rnacentral:rRNA from 1 species
GGCGUGGCGCAGCUACACAUGCAGUCGAGCGGUAGAGAGAAGCUUGCUUCUCUUGAGAGCGGCGGACGGGUGAGUAAUGCCUAGGAAUCUGCCUGGUAGUGGGGGAUAACGUUCGGAAACGGACGCUAAUACCGCAUACGUCCUACGGGAGAAAGCAGGGGACCUUCGGGCCUUGCGCUAUCAGAUGAGCCUAGGUCGGAUUAGCUAGUUGGUGAGGUAAUGGCUCACCAAGGCGACGAUCCGUAACUGGUCUGAGAGGAUGAUCAGUCACACUGGAACUGAGACACGGUCCAGACUCCUACGGGAGGCAGCAGUGGGGAAUAUUGGACAAUGGGCGAAAGCCUGAUCCAGCCAUGCCGCGUGUGUGAAGAAGGUCUUCGGAUUGUAAAGCACUUUAAGUUGGGAGGAAGGGUUGUAGAUUAAUACUCUGCAAUUUUGACGUUACCGACAGAAUAAGCACCGGCUAACUCUGUGCCAGCAGCCGCGGUAAUACAGAGGGUGCAAGCGUUAAUCGGAAUUACUGGGCGUAAAGCGCGCGUAGGUGGUUUGUUAAGUUGGAUGUGAAAUCCCCGGGCUCAACCUGGGAACUGCAUUCAAAACUGACUGACUAGAGUAUGGUAGAGGGUGGUGGAAUUUCCUGUGUAGCGGUGAAAUGCGUAGAUAUAGGAAGGAACACCAGUGGCGAAGGCGACCACCUGGACUAAUACUGACACUGAGGUGCGAAAGCGUGGGGAGCAAACAGGAUUAGAUACCCUGGUAGUCCACGCCGUAAACGAUGUCAACUAGCCGUUGGAAGCCUUGAGCUUUUAGUGGCGCAGCUAACGCAUUAAGUUGACCGCCUGGGGAGUACGGCCGCAAGGUUAAAACUCAAAUGAAUUGACGGGGGCCCGCACAAGCGGUGGAGCAUGUGGUUUAAUUCGAAGCAACGCGAAGAACCUUACCAGGCCUUGACAUCCAAUGAACUUUCUAGAGAUAGAUUGGUGCCUUCGGGAACAUUGAGACAGGUGCUGCAUGGCUGUCGUCAGCUCGUGUCGUGAAGAAUUGUUGGGUUAGUCCCGUAACGAGCGCAACCCUUUGUCCUUAGUUUACCAGCACCGUUAAUGGGUGGGGC